rnacentral:rRNA from 1 species
AACGAACGCUGGCGGCGUGCCUAACACAUGCAAGUCGUGCGAGAAAGUUCCUUCGGGAGCGAGUAAAGCGGCGCACGGGUGAGUAACACGUAGGUAACCUGCCCCCCAGUCUGGAACAACUAGAGGAAACUCUAGCUAAUGCCGGAUGAGACCACGAUCCCUUCGGGGGUUGCGGCCAAAGAUGGCCUCUACUUGUAAGCUAUCGCUGAGGGAUGGGCCUGCGGGCCAUUAGCUUGUUGGUGAGGUAACGGCUCACCAAGGCUGUGAUGGCUAGCUGGUCUGAGAGGAUGACCAGCCACACUGGGACUGAGACACGGCCCAGACUCCUACGGGAGGCAGCAGUGGGGAAUAUUGCGCAAUGGGCGAAAGCCUGACGCAGCGACGCCGCGUGGGUGAUGAAGGCCUCGGGUCGUAAAGCCCUGUCGCAGGGGAAGAAACCUGACGGUACCUCGAGAGGAAGCACCGGCUAACUCUGUGCCAGCAGCCGCGGUAAU